GGAGUCGGCGCAAGAUGGCGGCGGGAGGGGCCCAGGCUGCAGCUCUGGCCGCCGAGUGAGGGGCGGGGGGGGCCCGGGGGCGCGCGGCCCGAGACCCCCCCGGCCGCCCUCCUCCUUCCUUUGUUCCUGUGGCUGGGGGGGUAUCCCCUCCCUCCACAACAUGGAGCCAUCUCCUUUGUCUCCCAGUGGGGCAGCACUCCCCCUGCCGCUGUCGCUGGCUCCACCCCCACUACCCCUGCCAGCAGCUGCAGUGGUACAUGUGUCCUUCCCUGAGGUGACCAGUGCCCUCCUGGAGUCCCUCAAUCAGCAGCGUCUUCAGGGCCAGCUCUGUGAUGUGUCUAUCCGAGUGCAGGGCCGGGAGUUCCGGGCUCAUCGGGCUGUUCUGGCUGCCUCCUCCCCUUACUUCCAUGAUCAGGUCCUACUCAAGGGCAUGACCUCCAUCUCGCUGCCCAGUGUCAUGGACCCAGGCGCCUUCGAGACUGUCCUGGCCUCCGCUUACACUGGCCGCCUUAGCAUGGCUGCUGCUGACAUUGUCAACUUCCUCACAGUGGGGUCUGUGCUCCAAAUGUGGCACAUUGUGGACAAAUGCACUGAACUACUCCGAGAAGGCCGGGCCUCAGCUACCACCACCAUCACUACUGCUGCAGCCACCUCUGUCACGGUCCCUGGUGCUGGGGUCCCAUCCGGGAGUGGGGGCACUGUGGCCCCUUCUACCAUGGGCUCUGUGCGCUCCCACGCCUCCAGCCGAGCCAGUGAGAAUCAGUCUCCCAGCAGCAGCAACUACUUCAGCCCCAGGGAGUCCACUGAUUUCUCAUCUUCCUCCCAAGAGGCAUUUGCAGCUUCUGCAGUGGGCAGUGGGGAGCGUCGAGGAGGUGGCCCUGUAUUCCCAGCCCCUGUCGUUGGCAGUGGGGGCGCCACCUCUGGAAAGCUGCUGCUGGAGGCAGAUGAGCUGUGUGAUGACGGUGGGGAUGGAAGGGGGGCAGUGGUCCCUGGGACUGGGCUCAGGAGACCCACCUACACACCCCCUAGCAUCAUGCCACAGAAACACUGGGUAUACGUGAAGCGAGGUGGUAAUUGCCCAGCACCAGCACCCCUGGUUCCCCAAGACCCAGAUCUGGAGGAGGAAGAAGAGGAGGAAGACCUGGUGUUGACCUGUGAGGAUGAUGAAGACGAAGAGCUAGGGGGUAGCUCCAGGGUUCCACCUGGGGGAGGGCCUGAGGCUACCCUCAGCAUAAGUGAUGUCCGUACCCUGAGUGAGCCCCCAGACAAGGGGGAGGAGCAGGUCAACUUCUGUGAGUCCUCCAAUGACUUUGGCCCCUAUGAGGGUGGGGGUCCUGGAGCAGGUCUUGAUGACUCAGGGGGGCCAACUCCCUCUUCCUAUGCCCCCUCCCACCCUCCUCGACCGCUCCUUCCCUUGGACAUGCAGGGCAACCAGAUCCUGGUCUUCCCGUCGUCUUCAUCCUCCUCACAGGCUCCUGGCCAACCACCAGGGAACCAAGCAGAACACGGGGCAGUGACCCUGGGGGGCACGUCGGUGGGGGGCCUGGACGUGCCGGGUAGCGCUGGUGGGGUCCCUGGAAGAACUGGCAGCGGGGACGGGAAUAAGAUCUUUCUGUGCCAUUGUGGGAAGGCCUUCUCCCACAAGAGCAUGCGGGACCGGCACGUGAACAUGCACCUCAAUCUGCGGCCCUUUGACUGCCCGGUGUGCAACAAAAAGUUCAAGAUGAAGCACCAUCUGACUGAGCACAUGAAGACGCACACAGGUCUCAAGCCCUAUGAGUGCGGUGUCUGCGCCAAGAAGUUCAUGUGGCGGGACAGCUUCAUGCGCCACCGAGGACACUGUGAGCGCCGGCACCGCCUGGGUGGCGGCGGGGCUGGACCUGGGCCUGGGACGCCCACGGGGCCAUCCUUGCCGGCCAAGAGAGAAUCCCCCGGAACCGGUGGGGGCAGCGGCGACGAGGCGAGUGCGGCCACGCCGCCGUCCAGCAGACGAGUGUGGUCCCCACCCAGCGUCCACAAGGUGGAGAUGGGCUUCAGUGGAGGCGGAGGAGCAAACUGAAGGGGCAGCCUACUGGGGUGGGGGUAGCUUUCGGGGAAGAGGGAAUAAGCACGAUCCAAGGGCGCUUUGGCCCCCGGCGGGUCUCCCACCACAAUUACUGUCUUCCUUUAUCUCUAUGGACUUGUAUAUAUGCUGGAAGGGGAACCACAGUUGCACCAUCGCCUGCCCAUUCUACUCCUCAACCCCUCCCUCCCAAGGAAUUUCUGGAACUAAGCCCUUCCUUUCCCUCUGAUGGGUACACGGAAGCCCCGGCUCCACAGAGUAGGGUGCAUAUGGAGGGAGGGAGAGGGGGCGUGUUGAGCAUCCUGCAGUCACAGGGUCAAGGGUCAGGUGGUUGUAGUCUGUGCCUGAAGUCUGUGUUUGUGUUGUCAUGGGGACCAGGCCUUUGAGCCCCACCCUUGUCCUGAAACCUACCCCCUCUCAAGGAUGUGCUCUUUAUUUCUACCCUGUCUCCCCACCCACCCCACCUCCUGGGGAAAUCCCCAACUCGGUUCUCUUGGAGGAGUGGGUGGAGACAAGGAGGGACAGGGAAACACCGGUCUCCCAGGCACCCACACCUAACCAGAGCGGGGAUUUCCACCGCCUGUCGCCCU